UACGGGGGAGCAAGCGUUGUUCGGAUUACUGGGCGUAAGGCGCGGUAGGCGGUCGUGACAAGUCACUUGUGAAAUCUCCGGGCUUAACUCGGAACGGUCAAGUGAUACUGUCGGACUAGAGUACAGAAGGGGCAACUGGAAUUCUCGGUGUAGCGGUGAAAUGCGUAGAUAUCGAGAGGAACACCUGCGGCGAAGGCGGGUUGCUGGGCUGAUACUGACGCUGAGGCGCGAAGCCAGGGAGCGAACGGG
rnacentral:rRNA from 1 species